rnacentral:rRNA from 1 species
CCUACGGGAGGCAGCAGUGAGGAAUCUUCGUCAAUGGACGCAAGUCUGACCCAGCCAUGCCGCGUGCAGGAAGACGGCUCUAUGAGCUGUAAACUGCUUUUGUACGAGGGUAAACGCAGAUACGCGUCUCUGUCUGAAAUUAUCGUACGAAUAAGGAUCGGCUAACUCCGUGCCAGCAGCCGCGGUAAUACGGAGGAUUCAAGCGUUAUCCGGUUUUAUUGGGUUUAAGGGGUGCGUAGGCGGUCGGAUAAGUUAGAGGUGAAAUCCCGAGGCUCAACUUCGGAAUUGCCUCUGAUACUGUUCGGCUAGAGAGUAGAUGCGGUAGGCGGAAUGUAAGGUGUAGCGGUGAAAUGCUUAGAGAUCAGACAGAACACCGAUUGCGAAGGCAGCUUACCAAGCUACUUCUGACGUUGAGGCACGAAAGCGUGGGGAGCAAACAGGAUUAGAUACCCGGGUAGUC